AUCGUUUUGUAGUUCCUCAGCAUGAUGAUUCGGUGUUCACAUGCAUGUGUGAGAUGUGCUGCCCCCAAACCUUGUUAGGACAUUGGCACAUUACCCGUCUGACA
rnacentral:snoRNA from 1 species